rnacentral:rRNA from 1 species
ACGGAAGGCAGCAGUGGGGAAUAUUGGGCAAUGGGCGAAAGCCUGACCCAGCAACGCCGCGUGAAGGAAGAAGGUCUUCGGAUUGUAAACUUCUUUUAUGAGGGACGAAGGACGUGACGGUACCUCAUGAAUAAGCCACGGCUAACUACGUGCCAGCAGCCGCGGUAAUACGUAGGUGGCAAGCGUUAUCCGGAUUUACUGGGUGUAAAGGGCGCGUAGGCGGGAUUGCAAGUCAGAUGUGAAAUCUAUGGGCUUAACCCAUAAACUGCAUUUGAAACUGUAAUUCUUGAGUGCUGGAGAGGUAGACGGAAUUCCUUGUGUAGCGGUGAAAUGCGUAGAUAUAAGGAAGAACACCAGUGGCGAAGGCGGCUUACUGGACGAUAACUGACGUUGAGGCUCGAAAGCGUGGGGAGCAAACAGGAUUAGAUACCCUGGUA